rnacentral:rRNA from 1 species
UACGUAGGGUGCGAGCGUUGUCCGGAAUUACUGGGCGUAAAGAGCUCGUAGGUGGUUUGUCGCGUUGUUCGUGAAAACCGGGGGCUUAACCCUCGGCGUGCGGGCGAUACGGGCAGACUUGAGUACUGCAGGGGAGGACUGGAAUUCCUGGUGUAGCGGUGGAAUGCGCAGAUAUCGGGAAGAAUAUCCGUGGCGAAGGCGGCUCUCUGGUACGGCACUGACGCUGAGACGCGAAAGCGUGGGGAGCGAACAGG